CCUACGGGAGGCAGCAGUGAGGAAUAUUGGUCAAUGGGCGCAAGCCUGAACCAGCCAAGUCGCGUGAGGGAUGACGGUCCUAUGGAUUGUAAACCUCUUUUGUCGGGGAGCAAGGCCCGCCACGUGUGGCGGGAAGGAGAGUACCCGAAGAAAAAGCAUCGGCUAACUCCGUGCCAGCAGCCGCGGUAAUACGGAGGAUGCGAGCGUUACCCGGAUUUAUUGGGUUUAAAGGGUGCGUAGGCGGAAGGUUAAGUCAGCGGUAAAAUGUCGGUGCGCAACACCGGCCUGCCGUUGAAACUGGUCUUCUUGAGUGAGCGAGAAGUAUGCGGAAUGCGUGGUGUAGCGGUGAAAUGCAUAGAUAUCACGCAGAACUCCGAUUGCGAAGGCAGCAUACCGGCGCUCAACUGACGCUGAGGCACGAAAGCGUGGGGAUCGAACAGGAUUAGAUACCCGAGUAGUC
rnacentral:rRNA from 1 species